UAGGGAAUCUUCGGCAAUGGGGGGAACCCUGACCGAGCAACGCCGCGUGAGUGAAGAAGGUUUUCGGAUCGUAAAGCUCUGUUGUUAAGGAAGAACGAGUGUGAGAAUGUAAAGUUCAUGCUGUGACGGUACUUAACCAGAAAGGGACGGCUAACUACGUGCCAGCAGCCGCGGUAAUACGUAGGUCCCGAGCGUUGUCCGGAUUUAUUGGGCGUAAAGCGAGCGCAGGCGGUUAGAAAAGUCUGAAGUGAAAGGCAGUGGCUCAACCAUUGUAGGCUUUGGAAACUGUUUAACUUGAGUUCAGAAGCGGAGAGUGGAAUUCCAUGUGUAGCGGUGAAAUGCGUAGAUAUAUGGUGGAACACCGGUGGCGAAAGCGCCUCUCUGGUCUGUAACUGACGCUGAGGCUCGAAAGCGUGGGGAGCGAACAGG
rnacentral:rRNA from 1 species